AAACUGAAGAGUUUGAUCCUGGCUCAGAUUGAACGCUGGCGGCAUGCUUUACACAUGCAAGUCGAACGGCAGCGCGGGGCAACCUGGCGGCGAGUGGCGAACGGGUGAGUAAUAUAUCGGAACGUACCCAAGAGUGGGGGAUAACGUAGCGAAAGUUACGCUAAUACCGCAUACGAUCUAAGGAUGAAAGUGGGGGAUCUUCGGACCUCAUGCUCCUGGAGCGGCCGAUAUCUGAUUAGCUAGUUGGUGAGGUAAAGGCUCACCAAGGCGACGAUCAGUAGCUGGUCUGNCCCAAGAGUGGGGGAUAACGUAGCGAAAGUUACGCUAAUACCGCAUACGAUCUAAGGAUGAAAGUGGGGGAUCUUCGGACCUCAUGCUCCUGGAGCGGCCGAUAUCUGAUUAGCUAGUUGGUGAGGUAAAGGCUCACCAAGGCGACGAUCAGUAGCUGGUCUGAGAGGACGACCAGCCACACUGGGACUGAGACACGGCCCAGACUCCUACGGGAGGCAGCAGUGGGGAAUUUUGGACAAUGGGCGCAAGCCUGAUCCAGCAAUGCCGCGUGAGUGAAGAAGGCCUUCGGGUUGUAAAGCUCUUUUGUCAGGGAAGAAACGGCUCAGGCUAAUAUCCUGGGCUAAUGACGGUACCUGAAGAAUAAGCACCGGCUAACUACGUGCCAGCAGCCGCGGUAAUACGUAGGGUGCAAGCGUUAAUCGGAAUUACUGGGCGUAAAGCGUGCGCAGGCGGUUUUGUAAGUCUGUCGUGAAAGCCCCGGGCUUAACCUGGGAAUUGCGAUGGAGACUGCAAGGCUUGAAUCUGGCAGAGGGGGGUAGAAUUCCACGUGUAGCAGUGAAAUGCGUAGAGAUGUGGAGGAACACCGAUGGCGAAGGCAGCCCCCUGGGUCAAGAUUGACGCUCAUGCACGAAAGCGUGGGGAGCAAACAGGAUUAGAUACCCUGGUAGUCCACGCCCUAAACGAUGUCUACUAGUUGUCGGGUCUUAAUUGACUUGGUAACGCAGCUAACGCGUGAAGUAGACCGCCUGGGGAGUACGGUCGCAAGAUUAAAACUCAAAGGAAUUGACGGGGACCCGCACAAGCGGUGGAUGAUGUGGAUUAAUUCGAUGCAACGCGAAAAACCUUACCUACCCUUGACAUGUCAGGAACCUCCGAGAGAUUGGAGGGUGCCCGAAAGGGAGCCUGAACACAGGUGCUGCAUGGCUGUCGUCAGCUCGUGUCGUGAGAUGUUGGGUUAAGUCCCGCAACGAGCGCAACCCUUGUCAUUAGUUGCUACGAAAGGGCACUCUAAUGAGACUGCCGGUGACAAACCGGAGGAAGGUGGGGAUGACGUCAAGUCCUCAUGGCCCUUAUGGGUAGGGCUUCACACGUCAUACAAUGGUACAUACAGAGGGCCGCCAACCCGCGAGGGGGAGCUAAUCCCAGAAAGUGUAUCGUAGUCCGGAUCGCAGUCUGCAACUCGACUGCGUGAAGUUGGAAUCGCUAGUAAUCGCGGAUCAGCAUGUCGCGGUGAAUACGUUCCCGGGUCUUGUACACACCGCCCGUCACACCAUGGGAGCGGGUUUUACCAGAAGUAGGUAGCUUAACCGCAAGGAGGGCGCUUACCACGGUAGGAUUCGUGACUGGGGUGAAGUCGUAACAAGGUAGCCGUAUCGGAAGGUGCGGCUGGAUCACCUCCUUU
rnacentral:rRNA from 1 species